ensembl:lncRNA
AUGAAGAUAGAGGAGGACACUGUCUACUCUCUAAUGUGCCAACCUACUCUUGAACCGAAUCAACCUGGCCCUUUUCCUUUCGACAAAAGACACUUUGGUGUAGAAUGGAGCUCUCCCACGCUCUCCAGAACAACCUGCACAAAGAUGCAGCCUCCCACCUGCAUUAAAAUACUGCUGUAUCUGUAAUGCACUGUAUACUCUAUAAUCAGCUCAGACAUACAACAGCCAUAUGUUUGUAAAUGCUACUGGCUGAUAUAUACGUAUGAAACUAUCAAAGCUAUCAAUUAAAAACAUAAUACACUUAGAGUUUCAUACUAUUUAAUAAUGCAGUUCUUAACUUUUAGAUAACGUUGAAGCAAAUUGUUUCUUUGACAACAAUAUGUUUUUUGGAUAUGAUCAUAUUUACUUAAAGUUAAAGGCAGUACACAAAGCAUAAAGUUUUUUUAUAUAUGUAACACAUAUAUAAAUGCAAUGUUAAGGCAGUUAUUCUUGGCGAAUACACUUUAAAUUCAACAAUCCCUGAUAGUUUUACAUAAGAAAUAUAAAUGCUAGAGCCAUCGUUUUCAUUUUAUUUCAGUUAUAAUAUAGUGGCUGCGCUACAACACUCUGUACCUCUCAAGUUCUUCUCCUUGACUUUAUUUACUCCAUCUUGGCACAGUUGUGAUUUCAGGAGUCAAGUGUUUCCUCUUUGGCUAAUGAACUCCGAUUAAGAGUCCUGCCUAUUGAUCUUUUUGAGUCUCUUCAUCCUCUCCUGCCGGACUGUCUCUGCUUCCAGAGAGGAAAUCUCUGUGAGCCUCUGAACAAAAGAGGCCGAGGCACCCAGAUGUGGAUCAGGGUACGACUGGGCUGAAAAACAAUAACCGGCCCACAGGCUGGUUAGACAAGAGCACAGUUUGCUUAUUCAGGUUUACACAGGUAAUGCUCAUCUCACCUCAUACAAAAGACUGGGAAUUUCAGUAAUGGCCUAAAAUCUGGCAGGGUGUGUGAGGUAUGUGUGUACUUAAGUAUUAAAGGGAUACUCCACCCCAAAAAUGAAAAUUUUGUCAUUAAUCAUUUACCCCCCAUGUCGUUCCAAACCUCCGUUCGUCUCCAGAACACAAUUUAAGAUAUUUUGGAUGAAAACCGAGAGGCUUGUGACUGUCCCAUAGACUGCCAAGUAAAUAACAGUGUCCAGAUCCAUAAAAGGUAUGAAAGUCGUCGUCAGAAUACUCCAUCUGCCAUCAGACGUGCAAUCUGGGUUAUAUGAAGUGACGGGAACACUUUUUGUAAGCAAAGUAAACAAAAAUAACGACUUUAUUUAAAAAUUCCUUUGUCAACAGUCUCCUCUGUGUCUCUCCAUAUCACCGUAUUUUGUGUAUGCUCUUUUAUGUCACCCACGCCACAAGGAUGAGCUGUUUUAUUUCAAAUCAAAGCUAAAUACAUGUAGAAACAGCGUCUCAAGCCUACAGGUUUUCAUCAAAAAUAUCUUAAAUUGUGUUCUAAGGACGAACUGAGCUUGUGUUUAAGUAAGUGAAUAAUGACAAAAUUUUCAUUUUGGGGUGGAGUAUCCCUUUAAGUGAGUUAAAUGUGUGUAUUUUAUGUGUGUGAGCUCAUGAAAAACACAAGCACAUGUGAAAUUCAUCAAUCUCACCUGUUAAACAUUAAGCAAACACCUAACUAACACAUGUGCUAAAUCUAUGGGUUAUUACAUUUAAAUGUUAGAUUUAAGCUUAGAAGCUCACUUCUGUUGUUAGCACCAUCAGAGAAGAGAUUGUGCGCUCUGUUUUUUAUCCUUAAUCUGAAAUGCAGAGAAUGAGAACAAGAGAGAGUAAAAUAAGUAUACAAUAAACACAAUAUGUAUUGUAUAGUAAAAAAAAAAAAAAAAAAAAAAAUUUACCCGUUUUUAUAGUUUUGUGAUAUACAGAGUCGUCCACUGAUAGACAGGGUAGAGGCUGGUAACAGAACUGAUGGAAAUGAGGUCAGAUAAUCAGACCUGAAAUUGACGCAGACAAUAUAUGAUGUAGAGAACAUUAGUAAAUAUUGCAGUAUUUCAACAGUCUUGAAGAACUCACCCGCAAAUAAGUGGUCUUGGGUCACGCGGGCAGAGUUCUUUGCGGUGGGCAAAUCUGGUUAAAUUAUGAGAGCGAGAAACAUGGAACUCCUGAGAGAGUGGAUUUGUAGAGUUGUGGUUCACCAGCACAUCAUCUGUUUUAGGAAAAUAAACAUAUUUAUGUCCUAAGGUUUCCAGAGAAAGCAAAAGAAACAUCUAUUAAUGAUAGAAUCAUCUUAACAUUUUAAUUUAAAAUAACUGCAAAAGCAAUCCCUGACUAAAUUUACUUAGAUCUAAAAAGAUAAAGAUGUUGAAAUUAUGUGCUGCAAAAAUAUUCAUGUACAAUUUGUGAGCGCCAUCUAUUGGCUACCUCACUGAAACCAAUUACCAAUUACACAUUUGUUCAAUCUCAUCAAAUAAUGAUGAAUAAUAAAUACACAUGAUAUUAAGAUACUUUCUUUGCUUUUUUUCCCCCAUUUGUAUACUAAUAAUGAUACAAUAAAUGACAUAAUUACUAUCUUAUGAUUGGAAAGAGGGAUAAAUAUUGCAUUUUCAAUACCAUUAGUGAUGUAAGUUCCAUUUCUCCAUCGUUUAUCAAAUAAGAAAUGACGGUCAGAAAUACCACUGUCAGACACAUGGCUUUGUGAGGUACGGUUGGUGACUACUGAGCGAUUUUUGGCUAACAAUGGAACCAGAGGCCUGUAAAGUUGGAAACAAACAAACAAUGUAGAAUAAUGUCUCAUAUAGUGGUUUAAUACAUGCUGCCAUUACAGAGUGUUUGUGUAGAAAUACACAUGCCAACUUUAGUGACUUAGUAGGCCUAUCUCAGUGUUUGCAUUGAUUUCUGUGGAAGUUUUUAUAUAGACAGCCUAUAUACCUAAAACCACACACACACACACACACACACACACACACACACACACACAUCAGCUUGUCUUAAAAACGGUAUUAGUAUUUUGUUAGUAUACUCACCCUUCAGUAAUAGAGUUGACACUGUGAGGAUUUAGAUCCCUUGACUCUGCAACUUAAUAUUAAACAUUAAAUGUACAUGUUAGUAAAACAUUCAUUGUCUAGAAACUCUUCAGCACUGAAUGUAACGUUACAGAUAUUGAAAUCGUAUUGUAUCUUGCUGGAGAGCCACUGAAAUGUGAAUAGCAUGUAAUGUAAAGGACUCAGUAUCCUCACCGCUCGGACUGCAUGGGUAUUUCUGUCUUGCUGAGAAGACAUUCAGUCUGGAUUGAGCAGCCGUGGAGCAUCCAGACACUGGAGGACUGGAGGUGUAGUUUGAAGGAUAACUGGUAAUGUUUUGUAUUAUCAGAGGAGCUUCAGUUGGCAGUGACAUCAGUUUAGGCCUAACGAAGCCGGUAUAAUGAUUCAUCUGUCUGACCAGCUAGUUGUGCUUCAGGCUUGUUACAUCUGGCCCUGCCCUCUAGCUGCUACCGUAGGCGCACACCAGGCUCAACAUCCCUGGUGAGUCGGUACAGUCAGCAGCUGCUAACGCCGAACCCCGGGCGGCGGUUAACUAACCUGGAAAACUCAGCUUGUCUGAGCUUGGGCGCGUGGAGCCCUUGGUGGAGGAAAUUCCACCUAAAUGGGUCUUUGGACCGUCUACUGCAACCAGGACCAUCUCCAGUCGUCUUGACUAUGUCUUGCCACUGGGUACAGAUGUGGCU